UGUGGGUCGGAUCGGAUUAAAAUUUAGUAAAUUUAGAUCCAGAUCGAAAAAUAAAAUGGAUCCAAUUUUAAAACCAAACUCGAAUCCAUGGAUCUUUUAAAAUAGUUUGGGUUAGAUCUAUGCAGGUCGAAUUGGAUCGGAUCACAGAUCAAUCUGACUUAUUUGUAGCCAUAGCUAUCGCUCCAUCCUAUCAUCUAUU
rnacentral:lncRNA from 1 species